rnacentral:misc_RNA from 1 species
GAUGAAGAACGUAGCGAAAUGCGAUAAGUAAUGUGAAUUGCAGAAUUCAGUGAAUCAUCGAAUCUUUGAACGCACAUUGCGCCCGCUAGUAUUCUGGCGGGCAUGCCUGUCCGAGCGUCAUUUCAACCCUCAAGCCCCCGGGCUUGGUGUUGGGGAUCGGCGAGCCUCCGCGCCCGCCGUCCCCUAAAUCUAGUGGCGGUCUCGCUGUAGCUUCCUCUGCGUAGUAGCACACCUCGCACUGGGAAACAGCGCGGCCACGCCGUUAAACCCCCAACUUCUGAACGUUUGACCUCGGAUCAGGGAGGAAUACCCGCUGAACUUAAGCAUAUCAAUAAGCGGAGGA